AUUGAACGCUGGCGGCAGGCCUAACACAUGCAAGUCGAACGGUAACAGGAAGCAGCUUGCUGCUUUGCUGACGAGUGGCGGACGGGUGAGUAAUGUCUGGGAAACUGCCUGAUGGAGGGGGAUAACUACUGGAAACGGUAGCUAAUACCGCAUAACGUCGCAAGACCAAAGAGGGGGACCUUCGGGCCUCUUGCCAUCGGAUGUGCCCAGAUGGGAUUAGCUAGUAGGUGGGGUAACGGCUCACCUAGGCGACGAUCCCUAGCUGGUCUGAGAGGAUGACCAGCCACACUGGAACUGAGACACGGUCCAGACUCCUACGGGAGGCAGCAGUGGGGAAUAUUGCACAAUGGGCGCAAGCCUGAUGCAGCCAUGCCGCGUGUAUGAAGAAGGCCUU
rnacentral:rRNA from 1 species